rnacentral:rRNA from 1 species
AUGAACGCUAGCGGCAGGCUUAAUACAUGCAAGUCGAACGGCAGCACGGGUAGCAAUAUCUGGUGGCGAGUGGCGCACGGGUGCGUAACACGUAUGCAACCUUCCUUCAACUGGAGAAUAGCUCACCGAAAGGUGAAUUAAUACUCCAUAAUAUUCGAGAGUGGCAUCACUUUCCAAUUAAAGUUCAGACGGUUGAAGAUGGGCAUGCGGAACAUUAGCUUGUUGGCGGGGUAACGGCCCACCAAGGCUACGAUGUUUAGGGGAUCUGAGAGGAUCAACCCCCACACUGGUACUGAGACACGGACCAGACUCCUACGGGAGGCAGCAGUAAGGAAUAUUGGACAAUGGGCGCAAGCCUGAUCCAGCCAUGCCGCGUGCAGGAUGACGGCCCUAUGGGUUGUAAACUGCUUUUAUACGGGAAAAAACCCCUCUACGUGUAGAGGGCUGAUGGUACCGUAAGAAUAAGGAUCGGCUAACUCCGUGCCAGCAGCCGCGGUAAUACGGAGGAUCCGAGCGUUAUCCGGAUUUAUUGGGUUUAAAGGGUGCGUAGGCGGAUUUGUAAGUCAGUGGUGAAAUCCUGCAGCUUAACUGUAGAACUGCCAUUGAUACUGCAAGUCUUGAGUACAUAUGAUGUGGGCGGAAUGUGUAGUGUAGCGGUGAAAUGCUUAGAUAUUACACAGAACACCAAUUGCGAAGGCAGCUCACAAAACUGUAACUGACGCUGAGGCACGAAAGCGUGGGGAGUGAACAGGAUCAGAUACCCUGGUAAUCCACGCCUUAAACGAUGAUUACUCGAUGUGUGCGAUACACAGCACGCGUCCUAGCGAAAGCGUUAAGUAAUCCACCUGGGGAGUACGAUCGCAAGGUUGAAACUCAAAGGAAUUGACGGGGGCCCGCACAAGCGGAGGAGCAUGUGGUUUAAUUCGAUAUACGCGAGGAACCUUACCUGGGCUUGAAAGUUAGUGACCGUCUGUGAAAGCAGACUUUCCGCAAGGACACGAAACUAGGUGCUGCAUGGCUGUCGUCAGCUCGUGCCGUGAGGUGUUGGGUUAAGUCCCGCAACGAGCGCAACCCCUAUCUUUAGUUGCCAGCGAGUAAUGUCGGGGACUCUAGAGAAACUGCCCGUGUAAACGGUGAGGAAGGUGGGGAUGACGUCAAGUCAGCACGGCCCUUACGUCCAGGGCUACACACGUGCUACAAUGGCGAAGACAAUGGGCAGCUACAUAGUGAUAUGAUGCUAAUCUCUAAACUUCGUCUCAGUUCGGAUUGAAGUCUGCAACUCGACUUCAUGAAGCUGGAUUCGCUAGUAAUCGUAGAUCAGCAAUGCUACGGUGAAUACGUUCCCGGGCCUUGUACACACCGCCCGUCAAGCCAUGGAAGUUGGGAGUACCUGAAGUACAUCACCGCAAGGAGUGUCCUAGGGUAAAACCAAUGACUGGGGCUAAGUCGGAACAAGGUA